rnacentral:rRNA from 1 species
GUGCCAGCCGCCGCGGUAAUACGAAGGGGGCUAGCGUUGUUCGGAAUUACUGGGCGUAAAGCGCGCGCAGGCGGUCCUUUAAGUCGGGGGUGAAAGCCCAGAGCUCAACUCUGGAACUGCCUUCGAAACUAGAGGACUUGGGUACGGGAGAGGUGAGUGGAAUUCCGAGUGUAGAGGUGAAAUUCGUAGAUAUUCGGAAGAACACCAGUGGCGAAGGCGGCUCACUGGCCCGUUACCGACGCUCAGGCGCGACAGCGUGGGGAGCAAACAGGAUUAGAUACCCCGGUAGUCC